rnacentral:lncRNA from 1 species
ACUGGUUCCUUGCAGCUGUGACUCCCCAGGGUAAGAGGCAAAGAGCCACCAGGUCCCAGCUGAGGAAGCCCUGUGGUCAGCUCAGACAGACAGUGUUGUGCUCAUAAAUGGUUCACAACCAGCUCUCCAGAGGAAACGCAGCCUGAUUUGUAGUGGCAUCUGCCAAUUUCCAUGCAUAAAUACUUCCACCAUGGUGGAUUUCAAGCUACUGACAUCACUGAACAUGGAAUUGGGAAGAGAUGUACAUAACACAUUCUGAUACAUCACAGGUUCAAAGUACUGGCCCCCCAGGCUCUAUCCCUACCAGGCCAGAAUUUGGAAGGGGCUGUAUUUGUCUACUUAUGUCCAUAGCUCCUGCCGGGCAGCCCCUUCCCCACAGCCACAGUUCUCCCCGCUCACAGUGCCCUCUCCCUACCCCUUUGGCCCAGGGAUAGACAGGCUUCCUGCUCUUGCUGGUCCCAGGAAGCUGCACCAUUCCUUGUCAGUUCCUGUAACCCUGCCCACAUCUCUGAGAGGAGACCCUUCAUUACAGUCUCGUCUGUCACUGGUUUCACUGCAGGGAUGCGGACUGAAGCCGAAGCAGGUGUUAGUAAUUGUCGUACCUACAGACGAGGAAACCGAGCCUCCAUGAAGUGAAGUGACUCACCCACAGUCACACAGCUAAUAUAUGCCAGAGCCCACAGCAGAACCCAGACGUACUGAGGCCAAGUUCCAUGCCAGCAUAAAACAGGGGCCUGCUGAAAUGCCUAGCGCUUCAACAAGGUGAGCUCUUGUAGGCCAGGGGCCAAAUGACGGACAUCAUGUGCCACCAACACCACACAGAUGAAGGCGGUGGGCCAGGGCAGAGUUCUGGUUCUCCUGCAUCCUAAGAUGAAAGCUAAAGUCAGAAAGGAGGGAGGAAGACAAUGACGACAUUUAAAACCUAAAAACAGCGGCCAUUUCCAACUCAG